rnacentral:lncRNA from 1 species
GUCUGUACAGGGGUAGAGGGAUGGAGCUGGGCCUGUACAGGGGUAGAGGGAUGGAGCUGGGCCUGUACAGGGGUAGAGGGAUGGAGCUGGGCCUGUACAGGGGUAGAGGGAUGGAGCUGGGGGUGUAAGUGAAUCAUAGAUAGAGGGAAGAGAAGGUGUGCAGAAAACACUUAUAUGCUCAUACGUUAGUCUUCUCCUUUGUUCUAACUAUAGAAGUUGGGGUAGACAUAUCUAUCAUAUUUAUUUGUACUGAAUUUCAGGUUUUUAUUUUUUCUUGGAAUGACCCUUUCGUUGCCUCCCAAGCCCUAGUACGUAAGGAAUCUCUCCUUGCUUCACACUGCUACACUGUUUUGUCCAUCAAGCAUUCUUAGAUGCGCCACAGGACAUGCUCACUGCACUGAUUAAAAGAGCUGAAGUACGACUACUAUGAUAAUUGGUGUAAUGGGGCAGUAAAUGUAGCUUAUCACAGAGACAAUCAAUUCAUGAAGUCAUUGUACUGCUGGAAGGAAACACUAGUCUAGUAGAAACACUAGUCUACAUAAUGUCUGGUAUGGGGUCCCUCAGGGAAGAUAUUUGGGAGUUAUGCCAAAACAAAUGUCCAUUAAGCUCUAUGAGAUGGUUGUGUGCAGUGCAGAUGCAUGGUUUUGCUGAAGCUUUGAUGUCAUUUUGUUUUACCUUCCUUCUUGUUAAUCUGUUGGCAAUAUGUGCUAUUUAUAAGACAAGUGAGACUAUGGAAGGGAAGAUGUAGGUCAGUCUGACUGAUGAAGCCAACAGGCGGGUUGCAAAGAAAAAGACCACAAAAUGCCAUCUUCAUUCUCUACCUCGCUCUCUCUCUCUGCUCUGUCUCUUUCUGUAUGCUCUCACUGCUCUGUCUCUCUGCUCUCUCUCACUCACUGCUCUCUCUGCUCUGUCUCUCUCUCUGCUCUGUCUCUCUCUCUGCUCUGUCUCUCUCUCUGCUCUGUCUCUCUCUCUGCUCUGUCUCUCUCUCUGCUCUGUCUCUCUCUGCUCUGUCUCUCUCUGCUCUGUCUCUCUCUCUGCUCUGUCUCUCUCUCUGCUCUGUCUCUCUCUCUGCUCUGUCUCUCUCUGCUCUGUCUCUCUCUGCUCUGUCUCUCUCUGCUCUGUCUCUCUCUCUGCUCUGUCUCUCUCUCUGCUCUGUCUCUCUCUCUGCUCUGUCUCUCUCUGCUCUGUCUCUCUCUCUGCUCUGUCUCUCUCUCUGCUCUGUCUCUCUCUCUGCUCUGUCUCUCUCUGCUCUGUCUCUCUCUCUGCUCUGUCUCUCUCUGCUCUGUCUCUCUCUGCUCUGUCUCUCUCUGCUCUGUCUCUCUCUCUGCUCUGUCUCUCUCUCUGCUCUGUCUCUCUCUGCUCUGUCUCUCUCUCUGCUCUGUCUCUCUCUCUGCUCUGUCUCUCUCUGCUCUGUCUCUCUCUGCUCUGUCUCUCUCUGC